AAAGAGAGGGCCGAGCGGCGCUGCCCGGGCCUGUGCGUGCGUCACACGCGCGUGUCAGCAUGCGUGCCCACACCGAGGCCUGGUGAGGGGCGAGUGCACGGGGCAGUCAGGAGGGUGGGGCCGCCGAAUGCGUCUCGCCGCAGCAACUCGAGUUCUACCCCUUCCACGGCUUGCUGGCGCUCUUCCCAGGGAUGUCCCCCGGCCCAAGGCUCAGGGCCCCGCACCCCCCUCUCCAUCCUCAUCUGCUCCCAGAACACGCUCUCCCCCGGGGCUACUGAGGACUGACACGAAGCUUUCCUGGGCGAGCCCUCCCAGCCACGCUGGGUCACUGACUGCCCUCCUGCCCCUAAAUGCGUGGCCGCUGUCAGUGCCCAAGGAGGCCAGCUCCGGGACAGCAGCGGGACGUGGAGCAGCCAGGCACCCUAGCAGUUUCCCCGCAGAGGCAGCCCGGCCCCGCCUGGCUGUGGACCCCCGGGAGCCGAAGCCCAGUCUGGGCCACCUCGCCAACUCCAGCCCCCGAAGCCACAGGCCACGGCCACGUUCUGGCUGACGUACCUUCGGAGGCUUUGGGCACGGGGACGCCAUGCCUGGCCACAGCUGGAGCCGCAGAGACAGGGCCUUCGUGAUGCAGCCAGUUGAGCUGCUCGGCCGUGGCCAGUGUCUUAGGCAAGCAUCAGUAUCCAGUUUCAAUGGGAGCCGCGUCUCCGGGUCCACACCCUUGCCACGAGGAUGUACGUGACGGUGAAAGCAAGAUUCAGGCCAGGGCUCCCGACACAGCACGACUCUGAAGAACGAAAGAAAGCCACAUUGCCUGAGACAACGCUGGGAAGAAAAAUCAGCUUCGGGGUUGGUCAAGCUGUGUGCACGGGAGAAGCUUCCAGACCCAGCGUCUCUGCCCAGGACAGGCCGGACACCGGCCAGGGCCGUUCCUGGUCCCUCAGCACCAGGACACCUUCAAGACCAACCUUGCCCCGGCGCUUCCAGAAGCCUGUUCCUCGGCUUCUCCGCAGGCCGCCUCCUCCAGGCUCCACUCCUGGCCUUGCCCCUCCGUGCCCUGCCCGUGUCUGGCCCAGCCCUGGUUGGCCUGAGGGGUGCCCCUCCUUCCCGGUGGUGUCCUUUCGGGCCUUGGAGCCUGUCCCGCCAGCGCCCCUCCGUUCACCCACCCCUAAGCUUCCCCGGCACCCGCUAAGUGGGUGCCAAUGCUCCAGCGGCACAAACCCCUGCCUCCUGGGGCACGCCCUGGCCGGGCCACCAUGACCGGGGCUCGGGGCCUUCUCUGCUCGAAGCCCCUGGACCCUUAAGCACACGAGCCCCCUCCUCUCAAGGGGCCAGCCCCGCUCGGGCCACAGCAGCUGAUGCCACCCCCUCCCGGGGGCGGCUGUGCUCCAGCCCCGGCGCUGAUGCACCUGUGGCAUGGCCGAGGGGCUUCUCUCUGAGUAAAGCGACUUGGAGGAGGGUGGAGUGAGUGUGGAUGGUGGCAAGGAGUUCGACUGCCCCAAACCGUGUGGGGACUUCCCGGGGGACGCUGGGAAGCUGCCAUGUGGGUUCUGUUAGGAACUUGGCAGGACCUGAUGUGCACCCACAAGGAAGAUCUGCGGGUUCUUCGGAGCUUCUAAGAGACGUUCACGCGUGAGCUGAGCCGGGAAGGGUGAGGCGGGCGAGCCCCCUGCUUCCAGCCGCAACCGAGAAACAGAGACCACUUCCCCUUCCCCUGUAAACCAGAGCGGGCCCUCUCCGCCGGGCCCCUCGCUCGCCCCAUGCAGAACCAAUUUAACGAGAUGAACUGGAGGAGGAAUAAAAAGAACAGCCCGGAGCAGGCGGCACAUGGCAAGCCGGUGGAACACAGUCUCCGACAUCAAAGGCUCCCGGGGCAUGAAAGAUGCCGCGAGACAAACACGCCGCGCCCACCGCCCCUCCCGGCCCGUCAUCACGCCGGGGUGAGCGGCGCUCCGGAAGCGUGAAGGAGCCCUUCCAGCCCCCGGCCCCCCAGCAUCUUCUUGGCACUCGUUUCCCGGCUCCCUAAGGUUCUGUCUGGCAAAGCUGUCUGGCUGCUUUGGGAUGAGGGCAGGGGCUGCUCCUUCUGGCCCCAGCCCUCUGGGUCACGGUCAUUGCAUGGCCUGAGGACACUCCGGCCACCCGGUGGCUGUCAGCUCCUCCGCAGGCCCCUGCAGGCCACCUGCUCCACCCCUGGCUGGGCAACCUGGGAGAAGCAAGAGAGCAAGCUGGGGCCGGGGCCCGGGGCGGGGACCCAGGGAGGAGGGUCCUGCGUCUGGGGUGGGCCGGGGAA
rnacentral:lncRNA from 1 species